CCUACGGGAGGCAGCAGUGAGGAAUAUUGGUCAAUGGACGAGAGUCUGAACCAGCCAAGUAGCGUGAAGGAUGAAUGCCCUAUGGGUUGUAAACUUCUUUUAUAAAGGAAUAAAACGAAGCACGUGUGCCGUUUUGCAUGUACGUUAUGAAUAAGGAUCGGCUAACUCCGUGCCAGCAGCCGCGGUAAUACGGAGGCUCCGAGCGUUAUCCGGAUUUAUUGGGUUUAACGGGAGCGUAGAGGGGUUGUUAAGUCAGUUGUGAAAGUUUGCGGCUCAACCGUAAAAUUGCAAUUGAUACUGGCAGUCUUGCGUACAGUUGCGGUCGGCGGACUUCGUGGUGUCGCGGU
rnacentral:rRNA from 1 species